CUGAGACACGGCCCAGACUCCUACGGGAGGCAGCAGUGAGGAAUUUUCCGCAAUGGGCGAAAGCCUGACGGAGCAAUACCGCGUGGGUGAAGACGGCCUGUGGGUUGUAAAGCCCUUUUCUCAGAGAAGAACAAAUGACGGUACCUGAGGAAUAAGCACCGGCUAACCCUGUGCCAGCAGCCGCGGUAAUACAGGGGGUGCAAGCGUUAUCCGGAAUGAUUGGGCGUAAAGCGUCUGUAGGUGGUCUAAAAAGUCUACUGUCAAAUACCAAGGCUUAACCUUGGGCAGGCAUUAGAGUACUUUUAGACUUGAGUGUGGUAGAGGUAGAGGGAAUCCCUAGCGUAACAGUGAAAUGUGUAGAUUUUAGGGAGAACACCAGCGGCGAAGGCGCUCUACUGGGCCAAGACUGACACUGAGAGACGAAAGCUAAGGUAGCGAAAAGGAUUAGAUACCCUUGUAGUCUUAGCCGUAAACGAUGGAAACUAAGUGCUGCCGAAUGCAGUGCUGUAGCUAACGCGUUAAGUUUCCCGCCUGGGGAGUAUGCCCGCAAGGGUGAAACUCAAAGGAAUUGACGGGGGCCCGCACAAGCAGUGGAUUAUGUGGUUUAAUUCGAUGCAACGCGAAGAACCUUACCAAGGUUUGACAUACUCAGAAUUUUCCAGAAAUGGAUUAGUGCCAGCAAUGGAACUGAGAUACAGGUGGUGCAUGGCUGUCGUCAGCUCGUGCGUUGACGUGUAUGGUUAAGUCCUGCAACGAGCGCAACCCUC
rnacentral:rRNA from 1 species